UGGGGAAUAUUGGACAAUGGGGGCAACCCUGAUCCAGCAAUGCCGCGUGUGUGAAGAAGGUUUUCGGAUUGUAAAGCACUUUCGGCGGGGACGAUGAUGACGGUACCCGCAGAAGAAGCCCCGGCUAACUUCGUGCCAGCAGCCGCGGUAAUACGAAGGGGGCUAGCGUUGCUCGGAAUGACUGGGCGUAAAGGGCGUGUAGGCGGUUUGUACAGUCAGAUGUGAAAUCCCCGGGCUUAACCUGGGAGCUGCAUUUGAGACGUGCAGACUAGAGUGUGAGAGAGGGUUGUGGAAUUCCCAGUGUAGAGGUGAAAUUCGUAGAUAUUGGGAAGAACACCGGUGGCGAAGGCGGCAACCUGGCUCAUUACUGACGCUGAGGCGCGAAAGCGUGG
rnacentral:rRNA from 1 species